rnacentral:rRNA from 1 species
UUAGUGGCGGACGGGUGAGUAACGCGUGAGUAACCUGCCUUACACAAGGGGAUAGCCGUUGGAAACGACGAAUAAUACCCUAUAACAUAAACUCUUCGCAUGAGGAGCUUAUCAAAGAUUUAUCGGUGUAAGAUGGACUCGCGUCUGAUUAGCUAGUUGGUGAGGUAACGGCCCACCAAGGCGACGAUCAGUAGCCGGCUUGAGAGAGUGUACGGCCACAUUGGGACUGGGACACGGCCCAGACUCCUACGGGAGGCAGCAGUU